CUGGGCGGGGGCACGGGGGGCCUACGGGAGGCAGCAGUGGGGAAUUUUGGACAAUGGGGGCAACCCUGAUCCAGCCAUGCCGCGUGCAGGAAGAAGGCCUUCGGGUUGUAAACUGCUUUUGUACGGAACGAAAAGGUUCGGGUUAAUACCUUGGCUCAUGACUGUACCAUAAGAGAGCUUGUUGA
rnacentral:rRNA from 1 species